AGUGAACGCUGGCGGUAGGCCUAACACAUGCAAGUCGAGCGGCAGCACAGUAAGAGCUUGCUCUUACGGGUGGCGAGUGGCGGGCGGGUGAGGAAUACAUCGGAAUCUACUUUUUCGUGGGGGAUAACGUAGGGAAACUUACGCUAAUACCGCAUACGACCUACGGGUGAAAGCAGGGGAUCUUCGGACCUUGCGCGAUUGAAUGAGCCGAUGUCGGAUUAGCUAGUUGGCGGGGUAAAGGCCCACCAAGGCGACGAUCCGUAGCUGGUCUGAGAGGAUGAUCAGCCACACUGGGACUGAGACACGGUCCAGACUCCUACGGGAGGCAGCAGUUGGGAAUAUUGGACAAUGGGCGCAAGCCUGAUCCAGCCAUACCGCGUGGGUGAAGAAGGCCUUCGGGUUGUAAAGCCCUUUUGUUGGGAAAGAAAAGCAGCAGGUUAAUACCCCGCUGUUCUGACGGUACCCAAAGAAUAAGCACCGGCUAACUUCGUG
rnacentral:rRNA from 1 species